AAAGGGUGCGUAGGCGGUUUAUUAAGUCAGUGGUGAAAGACGGUCGCUCAACGAUUGCAGUGCCAUUGAUACUGGUAGACUUGAGUAUGAUUGAGGUAGCUGGAAUGGAUAGUGUAGCGGUGAAAUGCAUAGAUAUUAUCCAGAACACCAAUUGCGUAGGCAAGUUACUAAGUCAUAACUGACGCUGAUGCACGAAAGUGUGGGUAUCAAACAGGAUUAGAUACCCCGGU
rnacentral:rRNA from 1 species